rnacentral:lncRNA from 1 species
AUCACAAGCCUGACACUCUUGAUCUAAGCCUGCAAAGGGCCAACUGAACUGAAUCUAAACUAAAACUCAACUAAAAUGAAUCAGAGGAAGGUCUAUGUACCUCCAAGCUUUUGUCCCAAGGUUGAGGUGCCAAAAUUUGUAAAGGAAGAUGUCGCAGAGCAAAAAGAGUAUCGAGAACGCCAGUUCCUCACUGGCCACAUUCCACCCAUCUGGAUACGUGACCUGCUGGCAGAAGAUGGGACCUAUAAGGAGCCUGUAUGGUAAGAGCUUUGGGAACUGACAGCGUGACCCCCUGAGCUCCCAUUUGUCUGCGAGGAGCCCCUUCCUCGGCCCUUGGGCAUGCUGAGCUCCCUCCAGGCUCCUGCUGCUCUCCAACAAGCUCCCCGUAUUGCUUGCAGUGUUCUGCCGCCUAUUGCAAAGAAACGGGCAGAGAGACGCCCGGAGAUGAAGGAGAGGAAGGAAGAAGUCAAGCUUCCUCCUUUGCUUGGACAGCUGGGAACAUCACAGGCAAGGACACACUUCACAACACCCCAAGUCCAGCAGCGGUUCACCUCUCCUAAGAGCACCACACAGGAGAGGGAGAAACCGCGACCAGUAAAAAUCUCCAGCAAGAAAUCUAGCGAGGAGAUUACGUGCCAGCUUCCUCGAGCAGAGAAGAGGACAGUGGCCCCUCCAGCACACAUGGCAGCGCCCAAUCACCAGUCACUGUGGGCGAGACAUGUCCUGUCCACCUUGGAGUCAUACAAGGUGAACCGGGAAGGAUGGAGGAAGAAGGUGGAGCAAAACUGGCUCCAUGCUGGCCGACCCAAGGAGUACAUCAGCUUUGUGAAGAAGAUGGAGCUCCAUGAAGCCAAUGAAAAACACAAGGGCAAAUGAGAGACCAUCAGGCGGGCGCAGUGCAACCAGCUCAUACUGUGCCCACUCACACCAUGGCCAUGAAAUUGAAGCCCCAAGAUUGGCAGUACCGGGGCUGAGAGGAGCCAUAUUGAUACUGUAGAUAACUCCCUUGUUACCAUCAUUGCCUCUGCUGUAACAGCAAAGCAGAGCCAAAUAAAGAUCAUUGGAACACCUUAUAAGUUGGGGGU